GGCUAUUGACAUGUUGUGCCGCUAAGCUGCUCAAUGCUGUUUUUCACCUCGGAGUUUGCACCUGCCCUGACUCCAGGAUACUGCUACUGUCCCCCUUGCAGGUGGCAUGGAUGCCUCGCACACGGGUGACAUCUUCUGGGUGCUGGCAUUUACUGUCCCACUUCUGGUGAUUCUACUGGUGCUUUGCAUUGACUGCCGGGACCCUGAAUUAGACACACAAUCUGUUGAUGAUUACCAGGACAAGCCUUCAAGUAGUGCACGUUCGAGUUCAACCUUCAAGUUGAUACGUCCUCCCUCCCCACCUUGGCCUGCUGUUUCAUCCCAACCAGACAUGUGGAGGCAUAGCAGAUGCCCCCCAUGCAGUCUUUCCUAUCCAGCACCGUCAUACAAAGUUGAAAGGGAUAAUGAAAGCAUUCCCAGUUAUGAAAACCAAGGUGAAGUACAAGCUGGUGCCACUGAUGAUGAGGAUAAUGAUGACAACUAUGUCCCUCCAUACAUUGACGUGCUGCCAGAUGCGCCACUUACAGGUCAAGGCAAUGAAGACGGUGCUUCCACAGAUUCCCUAGGGGAGCAGUAUGAGAAUGUGCUUGAGUGUGAGCGCAAUUCGCCCGGUGACUAUGUCAACGUACUAGAACCAGAAGCUACCAUGGUGGGUCCUUGUUUUGUUGGCAGUGGCACCAGUGAUCGGGAAAGUGAAGAUGACACUCCGGACUAUGAGAAUGUCUGUCCUGGGCUUUGAGGUUGAAAGGUUCCUUUGCCGGUUGCUCCAGUCACCUAUAUGCAGAAUGCAUUACCUGGUUGGCCUAAGGACACUGUCUUCCCAGUCACCCUCAAAUAUUGCCGUAACUUAUUGCCCUUCUUUGCACUUUGCAUGACACAUCCUGAGAAUUUUCCACAAUACUAUAGAAUCUUGGUAGCAAGAUUCAGAAGCUUGACUGUCCAUGUGGAACUGGUCUUCUAACACUCCCCACCCCCCCAGCCCGCAAAGCAUUCUGGGUUGUUUAUGUCUCUUUGCUAAAUAAAGAACUGGUAAUUUCAUCGUUGUUGUACUUGAAAGGGAAUUGGUGCAGGAUUAUGGAUGGGGAGAGAUGCCUAGAAGGGUCUGAACAGAGUGUGCAGAGUUCAGGUGAACAGAUAAGUCUUGGCAAUUGCUAAACAGUGCACUGGGAUUCUAACUUUGGUUUCUACUUCAACUGAAGUGAACCUCAGAGGUUCCUCGCUUCCUCGAGCACUGCAGCCUGCAUUCGGUUACUUGGGACGACAGAGUAUUAGAGUAUUAGAGACAUUAUGCAACAUUAUUGCUUCCUUGACUUGGGAUGCUUACACACAAGGCUUUUAAAGUGGAAUUGCUGUGCUUCAUCCACUCUUACUUAUGCUCCAUCUUUCAGUUUUCAAAAGCACGGCACCAGGCAGUUUCCAUCAUUAAAGCAACAAGCAGUGCUUUUUAUCUGGGGGGUACGCAUACCCCUAACAUUUUGUGAAUCUAAGUUUGACUUCAUUGAGGGGCAGUAUGAGUAGGAAAAUGAGAGUAGCCCCAAACAUCUUUUUAAGGAAAAAAAGCACUGGUAACAAGUCAUUAAAAAAAAAAAAUAGCAUUAAAUCAAGCCGAUCAAACAGGAGACGGAAAUUAAAGGAGGCCAAAAGCUUAUCAGAAUACAGUGUAAACAAAAUUUAUGGCUCCAGAGAAACACUUGCCUGUCCUCUGUGCAACACAGUAGAGGAUGAUAGGGAUGCAGGCUACUGGAUUAUUUUAUUUUUUGCUUUUCCUUGGAUUCACAGAGUCCUGAAGUUAUUGCUGCUCAUUUUGUGAACAAAAGUCAUAUAAUACCCAAACCUGCCCAGCUCCAUUCACCUCUAAGUGGAACAUUGGUUGGGGGAACCUCUUCUGUUUACGAGGAGUUGGCAUACACUGAUGGAUGGAACAAGUCACAGCCACUGCCGCUCUUAAUCUUAUCUUCCAUAUGUUUUGUAAACACAAACCUCUUGGCGCGAGACCUUUGGGGCAGAGGGUGAUGCCCUGCAGCCAGGUUCUUGAAUCGACUAUCUGCCCGAGACAAAUGCCAUUUUUAUUCCACACCCAAGUCGCCACCGGCAUUCAAGAUAGGCCAGAUGUUUCUUGCAUAAUAACCACGGGAAUACUGGGUAGGGACAACAACAGAUAGACAGGGUUGAGAUCAUAGGGGCAGUGCCAGGCAAGCACAAACACCCCAUUAUCUUGGGGUGCCAGAGAGUGUUGAGGUGCCCUUACAGUCUGCUGUCUCUGCUGAUAACGGAAGCAGGCACGUAAGCCGUCCCCCCUUGGCUGUGUUUUGCUGUGCUAUUAGGGACUUCCACAAUCUCCAGAAGAACAGUCAUUGCUUGCAGGGAUGGGCUUCUUCACAUUGAUCCUCCUCACCUCCUCCUGCUUCCUUGGAAAAGCCGGUGAGUUGCCUGCUUUGAAACUGAAGGAGGUGGGCAGCAAAGGCAUCUUAAGAGUUGGAAAAGACUUGAGAGGCCAAGAUCUAGUUCAGCCACCUGCUCAAUGCAGGAUGGCACUACUGCAAGGUUGCUGGUGGUACCAGUGGCCCUCCAGAUGUGGCUGGACUACACUCCCAUCAUCUCUGACCAUUGGCCGUGUUGGCUAGGGCUGAUGGGAGUCCAAGAACAUCUGCAGGGCCAUGGGUUAUCCAUCUCCAGACUGCAGCACCCCUGGCAGAAGGUCCUCUAGACUCCAGCCAAGGAGAGCCCACCACUUCCCAAGGAAGUCAGUCUUAAUAUAGCAGUAUUAUUCACAAUUAUCCAUUAUUCUGGAAAGCAUUGUGCAACCACUUAAGUGGAGUGGUUGUAGGGGAUGGCACUUGGCAUGAAGUGUUGCUGGGCUGGAGAAGGGAGCAGAGAGCAGGGGAGGGACAGUGUUGUUUGUGACUUGCUUGUGAACCACCAGACACGUUGUUUUUUAACUACUGUCAGUCAUCUGGGGAGCAACCUGGUGCCUCUGCAAGCUCACAAGCAAGGUUUGCUCCCAGCCUUUCAGUACUUUAACACAGGUACAUUACCUUUGAACAUGGGGAUUCCAUUUUCCCAGUACUGUAUUUUUAUAUUUGUUUUUACAUCAAUAUAUGGCAAUCUUUUGCAAUCUGUUCCCUUGGGCAGUUUUUGCUGCUAGGCAAUUAUCAAUAUACAGUGGUACCUCGGGUUAUAUACGCUUCAGGUUACAUACGCUUCAGGUAACAGACUCCGCUAACCCAGAAAUAGUGCUUCAGGUUAAAAACUUUGCUUCAGGAUGAAAACAGAAAUUGUGCUCAGGCAGCGCAGAGGCAGUGGGAGGCCCCAUUAGCUAAAGUGGUGCUUCAGGUUAAGAACAGUUUCAGGUUAAGUACAGACCUCCGGAACGAAUUAAGUACUUAACCCUAGGUACCACUGUAAUUUGGCAGCCAUUGAGCCCAUCUUUAAGGUGGAAUUAAGUAAACUGUGUGUUUCAUAAAGAACUUUUGCUUGCCCUGAAUCUAUUUCUAAUCAGCACCAUUGGGGUGACUCAAGGUCUUUCCAGAUGACCGGCUCAUUUGUCCUGAUUUGUUUGAGAGUUUAGAUGGCCUUGCACUGAAGCAAGUGCAAUCCAACGCUUUCGAUGCCUUUCCUUGUCACUUUCCUUAUCGCAAGAAGUCUGACCUUUUGGGGAAGCAGGUUUGUUGCACGAGACCUCCCAAUCCCUUGCAGUUGUGGGACCUGAAUUUACCUGUAUGUGACUAAAUCCCACCCGAAUACAGUGAAAGCCUGGAAGCAACCCCUGAAUGAAGUUAAGUUGGCUUAUCUGAAUUGGGUGCGGUAAUUUGACUGGCAAGAGCCUUCCAAGGAUUUGGAAAAAGUCUCUUCUCAAUCCUCUUAGCUGGUAAGCUUUUAGGUACAGAUGCAUGGACCUUAACCCAGGACAGUCUACCACUUACUGAGCUAUUUAGGCAAGAUGGCCCAUGGAAGAGUGAUCACUGGAUGAUCUUUGGCUGUAUGGCUUCUCAGUUUGAUGCCGUUUAAGAUGGUCCUUAGAUUUCCCCAAUAAUUAUAUUUAGGGCCACAUAGGCAUCACUGAUAAAGAGGAAACACAUAACUUUUGUUUUUUAAGAUAUAUUUGUGUAAAAUCUGCAUGUGCUAAUUUGUAUGUUUGGAUGUAAAUACAGACACAGUCACUAUAAUUGAAACAAAAAUGCAAUCCAUCUCAACAUCCUGGGGAAGACUGUGACCUGUGUAGAUGGUCCAUUUCAAGGCCCCUGUCACAUGGAAGACGGAAUUGUAGAGCUGAAAAGGGACCCCAAGGAUCAUCUAGUCCAACCCCCUGCAAUGCAGGAACGUGCAACUGUCCCAUAUGGGGAUCAAACCUGCGACCUUGGUGUCAUCAGCACCUUGCUCUAACCAGCUGAGCUAUCAGGUGUCCAGUGGUUGUAUUUUCUCAGUUAAGCAGGCAGCAACCCAAACGGAAUGAUAAAGUAGGAUGCGCUGCCUGCCACCCUAAGGCCAAUUCACACAUGCCUGCAUAUUCAUUGAUUUCUCAGCACUUGCCAAACGGCAGCUGACUGUGAGACCUGACUCCUAAGCAGAAGAGGAGAGCUCUUCUGAUGUGUCUGUUCUGUGUUGCUUGACCCAGCCGGGAAGCUGCAAGUGCAGGCCGAGCCCUCUCUGGUGAAAGCUGCGGUUGGAGAUGAUGUCUUGCUGAAUUGCAUCUUUACUGUGGACGAGCCUACUGUGGACCUCAGCCGACUCUCAAUCCUCUGGUUCCACCGGGGCAGGCAGCUGGCGGAAUUUGACGAUGUGGUGACCACCUCCGGGGAAGGCGUCAGCCUGAGCCGGGAAGAGCUGGGGAAAGGCAAUGCGUCCUUGUUCAUCUCCCGGGUUGGCACUGGAAACUCUGGCAACUACAGAUGCUACGUUACAUACACGCCGGAAGUGCGCAUCCGGGAAGUGACUUUGCAAGUUGCAG
rnacentral:lncRNA from 1 species